AACAAAGAAGUAAAAUAUACAUUUAGUUUCGACCUAAAAUCUUAAGGAAUUCUCCUUCUUGUUU
rnacentral:tRNA from 1 species